rnacentral:rRNA from 1 species
UUUGUAUAAUGGGUCAGCGACUUAUAUUCAGUGGCAAGGUUAACCAUCUAGGGGAGCCGUAGGGAAACCGAGUCUUAACUGGGCGUUCAGUCUCUGGAUAUAGACCCGAAACCAGGUGAUCUAGCCAUGGGCAGGUUGAAGGUUGAGUAACAUCAACUGGAGGACCGAACCGACUAAUGUUGAAAAAUUAGCGGAUGACUUGUGGCUAGGGGUGAAAGGCCAAUCAAACCUGGAGAUAGCUGGUUCUCCCCGAAAGCUAUUUAGGUAGCGCCUCGGACGAAUACUACUGGGGGUAGAGCACUGUUAAGGCUAGGGGGUCAUCCCGACUUACCAACCCUUUGCAAACUCCGAAUACCAGUAAGUACUAUCCGGGAGACACACGGCGGGUGCUAACGUCCGUCGUGGAGAGGGAAACAACCCAGACCGCCAGCUAAGGUCCCAAAUUACUACUAAGUGGGAAACGAUGUGGGAAGGCUCAGACAGCCAGGAUGUUGGCUUAGAAGCAGCCAUCAUUUAAAGAAAGCGUAAUAGCUCACUGGUCGAGUCGGCCUGCGCGGAAGAUGUAACGGGGCUAAGUAGUAAACCGAAGCUGCGGCAAUAUACUUUUGUAUAUUGGGUAGGGGAGCGUUCUGUAAGCGGUUGAAGGUGUGUGGUAACGCAUGCUGGACGUAUCAGAAGUGCGAAUGCUGACAUGAGUAACGAUAAAGGGGGUGAAAAACCUCCUCGCCGGAAGACCAAGGGUUCCUGUCCAACGUUAAUCGGGGCAGGGUAAGUCGACCCCUAAGGCGAGGCCGAAAGGCGUAGUCGAUGGGAAACGGGUUAAUAUUCCCGUACUUCUUACAAUUGCGAUGGGGGGACGGAGAAGGCUAGGUGGGCCUGGCGACGGUUGUCCAGGUUCAAGUGCGUAGGCUUAAGAGUUAGGUAAAUCCGGCUCUUUCUAAGGCUGAGACACGACGUCGAGCACCUACGGGUGUGAAGUCAUUGAUGCCAUGCUUCCAGGAAAAGCCUCUAAGCUUCAGAUUGUAAGGAAUCGUACCCCAAACCGACACAGGUGGUCGGGUAGAGAAUACCAAGGCGCUUGAGAGAACUCGGGUGAAGGAACUAGGCAAAAUGGUACCGUAACUUCGGGAGAAGGUACGCUCUCGACGGUGAAGUCCCUCGCGGAUGGAGCUAUUGAGAGUCGCAGAUACCAGGUGGCUGCAACUGUUUAUUAAAAACACAGCACUGUGCAAAAUCGUAAGAUGACGUAUACGGUGUGACGCCUGCCCGGUGCCGGAAGGUUAAUUGAUGGGGUUAGACUUCGGUCGAAGCUCUUGAUCGAAGCCCCGGUAAACGGCGGCCGUAACUAUAACGGUCCUAAGGUAGCGAAAUUCCUUGUCGGGUAAGUUCCGACCUGCACGAAUGGCGUAAUGAUGGCCACGCUGUCUCCACCCGAGACUCAGUGAAAUUGAAAUCGCUGUGAAGAUGCAGUGUACCCGCGGCUAGACGGAAAGACCCCGUGAACCUUUACUACAGCUUGGCACUGAACAUUGACCCUACAUGUGUAGGAUAGGUGGGAGGCUUUGAAGCACGUACGCCAGUAUGUGUGGAGCCGUCCUUGAAAUACCACCCUUGUAGUGUUGAUGUUCUAACGUCGACCCCUUAUCGGGGUUGCGGACAGUGCCUGGUGGGUAGUUUGACUGGGGCGGUCUCCUCCCAAAGAGUAACGGAGGAGCACGAAGGUGGGCUAAUCACGGUUGGACAUCGUGAGGUUAGUGCAAUGGCAUAAGCCCGCUUGACUGCGAGAAUGACAAUUCGAGCAGGUGCGAAAGCAGGUCAUAGUGAUCCGGUGGUUCUGAAUGGAAGGGCCAUCGCUCAACGGAUAAAAGGUACUCCGGGGAUAACAGGCUGAUACCGCCCAAGAGUUCAUAUCGACGGCGGUGUUUGGCACCUCGAUGUCGGCUCAUCACAUCCUGGGGCUGAAGUCGGUCCCAAGGGUAUGGCUGUUCGCCAUUUAAAGUGGUACGCGAGCUGGGUUUAGAACGUCGUGAGACAGUUCGGUCCCUAUCUGCCGUGGGCGUUGGAAGAUUGAAGGGGGCUGCUCCUAGUACGAGAGGACCGGAGUGGACGAACCUCUGGUGUUCGGGUUGUGUCGCCAGACGCAUUGCCCGGUAGCUAAGUUCGGAAUCGAUAACCGCUGAAAGCAUCUAAGCGGGAAGCGAGCCCUGAGAUGAGUCUUCCCUGAUACUUUAAGUAUCCUAAAGGGUUGUCGGAGACUACGACGUUGAUAGGUCAGGUGUGUAAGUGCUGUGAGGCAUUGAGCUAACUGAUACUAAUUGCCCGUGAGGCUUAACCAU